rnacentral:rRNA from 1 species
UACAGAGGGUGCAAGCGUUAAUCGGAAUUACUGGGCGUAAAGCGCGCGUAGGCGGUUUGUUAAGUUGGAUGUGAAAUCCCCGGGCUCAACCUGGGAACUGCAUUCAAAACUGACUGACUAGAGUAUGGUAGAGGGUGGUGGAAUUUCCUGUGUAGCGGUGAAAUGCGUAGAUAUAGGAAGGAACACCAGUGGCGAAGGCGACCACCUGGACUGAUACUGACACUGAGGUGCGAAAGCGUGGGGAGCAAACAGG